ensembl:lncRNA
CUCUCGGAUAGAUUUAAGUUUUUAACCUAAUGAUGACCUUCACUUGCACUGCCAUCUCAUUGGGCAUUAGAGUUAGACUUAGUUAUAGUUACAGUAAAAACAUAUACAAAUUCAACACUAACAUUUGUGUGUUUCUUUGUCAAGAAGAGGUGGCCCAAACGAUCUGGAAGGCUGUUUUUGUCCAAGCUGUGGUUGUUGCACUUCAGCAUCUAGCUAGCUAUUGGUACAGAAGAAGAGCUAGCAUAAGUGGGGUAACAUUUUUAAGUUUCAGCGUGAACGAAGUAAGAAAGACUACUGGAGAGGAAGAAGAAAGAUUAUAUUUAAAGGAUUUGCCACAGCAGAUUACGGAUACAUCUAUCUGUCCCUAUUGUCCUCCUCUGCCACACCAUCCCUCUGCGUGUCCUCCUUCACUAAAUCCAUGAAUCUUCUCCGUGGUCUUCCUCAUUUUCCUCCCACCUCCAUAUUCAGCAUCUAUUGUCCAGUAUGUCCUCUAUCCCUCCUCUGCACAUGUCCAAACCGUCUCAGACUUGCCUCUUUAACUUCUUCUAUCUUCUCUUCUUCUACCUUCUCCUAUCCUUCCUCGUCACUGAAAAUCUUACCAUCUUUAACUCUACCACCUGCAGCUCGGCCGCCAGCCUUUUUGUCAGUGCAAUCGUUUCCAAGUCAUGCGUCACAGCAGGUCUCACUCACUUCCAGC